AGAGAGAGAGAGAGAGAGAGAGAGAGAGAGAGAGAGAGAGAGAGAGAGAGAGAGAGCACUCGCGCUCACCGACUUGUGGGGAACUCACACCUGACAAAGGACCUUUCUUAUGGGGAAAGUUCAGAAUUGUGGGGAACUCUCUCGUUCCCCACAAAUAUGGUCAUGGGGUUUUUUGAAUUCUACGUGUUCUACUGAUAAUAUUUAUUCGAUUUGUGGUCAUUUUUUAAAAAAUCCCCAUAAGUCCGUAAAAUUGACUCGCAGUAAUUUUCUCACUGCACCGUAAAACGAAUGUUUGAGGAUGCUGGGAAAUGUUCAUUCGGAACGCAGCGGAAUUUAAACUGGUCCCCAUAUGAUACCAAUUUAUUGCGGGCAAUGGCUGCUCCGAGAAUAUGUGGCCUAAUGGCUAUCCUGUAAGAACAAACUACGGAUUUAUAUGAAUUCAGCACCCCCGGGAUAUGGUUUUCGGGUUUUCACCACAAGAGCAAAUUAUACAACUUUAUUCUUGAAAAUGUUAGAGACUGAGACUUGGAGUCAAAGUCAACAGACACGCUUGCAUGGACAUGAAGGAUGUAAAGAACUAGAGUAUUAUAACUGAAAGCAUUUUGUCUGGAUUUGUGUAUGGAAACAGAAGGAUUUAGUAUUGGUAAGUCAAGAUAGCUGUAAAAUCUCAUUUUGAACUCUAUAUGUGAGCAGUACUGUAAACCAACUACCAGGUAGUACACAUGUACCCUAUUUGUGUCAUCUUUUAUUUGCAUAUCUAAUCUGUGUUGAUUAAUUUCCGUGACUAAUGAAAGGAAACAUUCUCUACAAAUAUAAAGCAAAAUUAAUAGUUCAGGGCAAUUAAUAAUUUAC